UUCAUUAAGUUCUCGACUCCAAACUCACAUGUGAGGCUCUAGUUUCACUCUAUCAUUUUCCGGGUCGUUACAAAAAGGCACUCAUAUUUGUGGCUCUACUUUGUAUGAAUGGGAAGAGGUAGCUGCCAAUAGUUUUUUGCAAUGCUAAAUUGCUCUAGACCGUUGAUAGGCUGGUUAAGGAGAAGUAUGUCUUUGUGAAGCAGUGUUUAACUGGUGGAGUUUCCUUUCCAGUAGAAUGCACAAACUAUUGCUGAAUAUUUAUCUUCCCAUCCACAAGUGAAAAAGGUCAAUUAUGCAGGUCUUGCUGACCAUCCAGGGAGGUCUUUGCACUUCUCUAGUUUGCAGGCUAUGGGUGCAGGCUCGGUGCUGAGUUUUCUAACAGGUUCUUUGGCAAUGUUUAAGCAUGUUGCUGAGGCUACCAAGUACUUAAGCAUUACAGGCAGUUUGGUCAGAAUUCUUCGUUCUCUAGAUCAUGCAAAUGUAUUGAAGUUCUACUCCUAGUGAGAUUUGCAUGUAACUCCUUUCUUUUUCUUCAAUUUAGUUUCUAUGGUAAAGCUCCUUUUGGUGUUUAAUAAGAAGAUUACUCUGACUUAUUUUCUAAUUCAACCGAUCCAUAAGUAUGAAACAUCUGCAUACCUGUGGUUGGUUUUAGAAUAUUGUGUUGGAGGAAAUCUCAUGAGCUUAUUGCAACAGGUAAACACUGACAGGUCUUCUAUAUUAUAAAUACAUUUCAUUGUUCCAGUGGUAUAACUAGUAUGUUGGCAUAUAGGAUGCCUUAUGCUGACAUUAGACACGAACAUCCAAAAUUUGUCUUUUUUAUAGUAGAGGCAUGUGAUAUUGAGGUUUCAUGGUAAAUUUGUUGCAUGCCUACAUUGGGAUUUCCCAAACAGGCACUAAGGACAUCUGUGUCAUGUGCGAUUGAACACUUAAUUAGAGAUGAUUGUUUGUAGUCUCACAAAAUACAAAUAUAGGUUCUCACUCUUUGGACUAACUUGUUUCUUGUGCCAGCAAAAUGAUGUGAAAGAAAUAGGUUUCUUUUUUGAUUUGUAUAUAAUGAGUAGUCAAAAUGACCAUAGUUUACUGUAGUUGGUAAUGUCACAACUCUCGUCUUCAUCAUCUUACCUGUAUUUUAGUUUAAACCACACCUGGGAGAUUGUUAAGAUCAUUUAAUCUCAAAGCUGAAGGAUGGUAAGCUUCCCGAAGAUUCAAUGCAUGAUCUUGCUCGUGGCCUUGUUAGAGCUCUUCUAUAAGUAUCUUUAGACUUCAUUGUUCUUUUGUAACACUUGUUGUUUAGGGCGUGAAUUACUUUUUGUUUUUUUGUCCACUAUACCAGAUACUUGCAUUCAAAGGGAAUAAUUAAUUGUGACUUAAAGCAAUCAAACAUCCUGCUGGAUGGAAAUAGAAUCAGGAAGGUAUUAUGAUCUUUGUGUUGUGACUUUUCCACAUCAUGACGAGUGUUUUACCCAAUUAUAUGACGUUGAAGUCCCAAUUGUUUCCUAGAAGCUAUGUAAUUUUGGAUUAGCAAGAAAGUUGAUUGGUAUAUUAAAGACACCUUCCUCCCAAUAGUUCACCUCUCUCUCCCCUCAUUUUUCCCUAAAAUGAAUAAAGGAAAAUUUAAAUUGGUGGCAACAUUUUGGAAGUUCACUAAAGGUAAACUGUUUGGAAGUGCUUUUGACCAAUUAUAUGACGUUGAAGUUUCAAUCAUGCUUCCUUUUCCUCAUCCAGUUCUUAUAAAAAUAAGAUUUCUCUGAUAUCUCAAAACCAUCUACGAACCUUUCAGAUGUUCUUUGGCAUCCAUUUGAUCUCUCAGUCAAGAUCUGUAAUGCCUAGCUGAAAAUUAGAUAGAGGAACAGAUGCAAUUCCUUCACUUUCAUUUGAUGGACCUCAACUGUCUGAUAUUGUCAAAAUGUCAGAGGAGCAAUUAGACUCUUUUAAUAGUUGAAUCAUCAGUAUUUUUAGUGGGAGUACUCCCUUAGGGGAGAAGCAAAAUGUGAUCAGAUACUUUGAGCUUUUGAGCAGCAAUGCUGAUGCAGCCAACAUCUUGACCAAUGGGUCUAUUGUGUUGGUUCUAGUCAAAAUGCUUCAUCACUCCAAGGUUUCUCUGUUACGUGCUCAACUUACUUCACUUAUUGUCUUGUUGAUUCGUCACUCUCUACUUUCAUUGGGGAUGAGCUGGAAAAUUCUGGAAUAUUAGGUUGUCUAACUGAUGGUCUGAUAGACAGGCAAGAGAAAGUGAGAAGGUUUUCCAUGGUUGCUUUGGGCGAAUUACUAUUUUAUAUAUCUACUCAAAAUGAGCAUAUCGUAAACCAAUGGAAUCUCCAUCGAAGGACAGCAGACCCUCAUCCUGUUGGCUGGUAUCUUCGUUGUUGUAACUUCUUAUUGGUGCAUCUUGUCAAGUUUAUUACUCCCUCCAUUUUAACUUUUGUCUUGUUUUGACUUGGCAUAGAGUUUAAGAAAGUAGAGAAGACUUUUGAUUGUGAACUUAAAUUAAAGAUAUGUAGAAUGUACCAAAUGUUCUUAAAUCUCGUG